rnacentral:lncRNA from 1 species
UGGAAUGAGAACCUGCAACCUGAGUGAUUCUACAGUGGACCAGGCUUCUGAUGGAACUAUUACAAGCAUGAAGAAGAGGUGGUGAGAUGGUCCUGCUGACCCCAGGGCAGAUGGCAUUGACAAAGCUGUAUGUGGAAGGUAGGAGAGACAUGGAUACAUCUCAACAGAGCCCAUGAUGGGUACAGAACACUGAGACACUAGGGACAAGGUUUCUGAAGUACCACAUGCCUGAUGUUCCUUCUCUGCCCUGGAGGAGACCAGAAGAUGAAAAGCUUUCUGCGGACCUUCCAAUCUCCUCUUGAAUCGUGCCACAUCCUGCAGAUGUCCCUAGGCAGGACCCUUAACCUUGCUAAGCCUGUUUGUCAACUCCUAUGUAAGUCCAGUGAGACUCAUUUCUCAGGAUUAGACAAUGUCUGCCUGACAUCUAGAAGCAACUAGGUGCUUGCUACUGUGAGAGCCACAGCCUAUGGCUUAGUUCUGUUUCUUUCUUACCAUGAGACUUGGACUGGUUAUUUAACCCUAUGGAGCUUCAAUUCCCUCAUAAAUAUGAUGGGAAAACCAUAAUGUGUAAUAGGGCUCUUGAACGAAAUCUUUGGAAAGAAAAUAUAACAAGCUGGAAGCUUUACUUUUUCCCUGUUGGAGGAGACUCAAAACAUUGAGUUUUCUCUCUCUAGUGAUGUCUAUGCCAAUCAUCAGGCUCUUGCUCUGCCUCCACACUUCCUUGUUUUAGCAAAACUCAGGAGUUCCUUUAAGAAGAAGCUUCAAAGCUCCACCUCUGGCCUUUGGGAGUCUGGAGGACCUAGCUUCAGGGUGAGAUCCCGCUCAACUAAAAGACAACAGGGGCUGGAAUUUGGAAUGACAUUAAACUAUGUGUAGCCCAAGUCUAAGGAAAGGGACUGGACGCUGUGAGAAAAGGGGAAAGGAGGCCUGCCUGGCUUCCACAAAGGCAUACCUACAUAGCGCUCUGGGACAGAGCAGGCAAUGCGCAGGAUUGAGUUGGGUGUGGCACACACGUGUGACCCCAGCAUAUGGAAGGCCAAGGUUCCCCUUUCCUCCUAAGAAGCCUAAUCUACCCUGAAGCUGCCCUCUGGGCCAGAAGCAACCAGAGGCCUCUCUGCCCUCAGCUGUGCAUGGCAGAGAUAGAUCAGAGACAAGAGAACCAAGCAGAAGACCCCUCAGGAGCAUUUGACAACUUCCUUUCUAUAGGAUUCGAAGAGGCCAAAAGUGCCUACAGGCAUGGGAUAGAGUGCUAAGAAACAGGAUGACUGGACAGGCAAGAGAAGAAAACCCAGGUUCCCUUUGAUACUUCUGAGGGUUUGCAUGUGGAUACCAAUCUCCAUGUUAGAGAUUAAUGGGGCAAAGCAAUGCACAGCUGCAAAGAACCACAUAAGAACCACAGUUUGAGGUUCAGGAUGGGGUUGUACUGUGUUCUCUGCAAGCACAUCGAGUCCUCUCUGGAUCUAUGAAUACCAUUCAUUUGGAGAAAGGGUCUUGGAAGGUGGUCCCAAUUAAAAUGAGGUCAUUAGUAUGAGUCCUAAUCUCAUAUACCUGUGCUCCUAAGAAAUACGAAAUUUUUCCCUAGGGCUUAAGGCAUACCUGGGAAGAAUGAUACAUGAAAAUGAAGGCAGGAGAUCAGUUGACAGGUCUAUGGACCAAAGAAUAGCAAGGAUUAUCAACAAGUUCCCAGAAGCCAGAGAGAAUCAGAGAAACAUCUGACUCUGUCCCCAGAAGCAUUCAACACCACUAAACAUGAUCUAGGACUUACUACAUCAGAAAUGAAAGACAACUUUCUGUUGUUUAAGACAUUCAACCUGUGGUCCUUGUUAUAGCCGUCACAACAAUAAAUACAAGGUAAAAUAUGCUGGGAAGAAACGUGAGAAGAAAACCUUGAAAUAAGCAAAGGUCUUCGGGAUUCCAGUGUCUACUGAAGACCAGCCGAGAUGCCCAUCUUCAUGAACUGAAAAACUACUGGAUUCCUGGACCAGUAGACAGCCAUUGUUGGGCUAGCUAGACCACAGCCUGGAAGACACUCUAAUAAAUCCCCCUUUUAUGUCUCUGAAGAGAUUUGCUA